CGGGACGUAGCGCAGCUUGGUAGCGCGCUUCCUUGGGGUGGAAGAGGUCGCGUGUUCAAAUCACGUCGUUCCGA
rnacentral:tRNA from 1 species